rnacentral:rRNA from 1 species
AGGACGAACGCUGGCGGCGUGCUUAACACAUGCAAGUCGAGCGGAAAGGCCCUUCGGGGUACUCGAGCGGCGAACGGGUGAGUAACACGUGAGCAACCUGCCCCUGGCUCUGGGAUAGCCUCCGGAAACGGGGAUUAAUACCGGACAUGACCUGCUGCCGCAUGGUGGCGGGUGGAAAGUUUUUCGGCCAGGGUGGGGCUCGCGGCCUAUCAGCUUGUUGGGGGGUGACGGCCCACCAAGGCGACGAC